AACGAACGCUGGCGGCAGGCUUAACACAUGCAAGUCGAACGCAUCCUUCGGGGUGAGUGGCAGACGGGUGAGUAACGCGUGGGAAUCUACCUCUUGCUACGGGAUAGCUCCGGGAAACUGGAAUUAAUACCGUAUGUGCCCUUCGGGGGAAAGAUUUAUCGGCAAGGGAUGAGCCCGGGUUGGAUUAGCUAGUUGGUGGGGUAAAGGCCUACCAAGGCGACGAUCCAUAGCUGAUCUGAGAGGAUGAUCAGCCACAUUGGGACUGAGACACGGCCCAAACUCCUACGGGAGGCAGCAGUGGGGAAUAUUGGACAAUGGGCGCAAGCCUGAUCCAGCCAUGCCGCGUGAGUGAUGAAGGUCUUAGGAUUGUAAAGCUCUUUCACCGGGGACGAUAAUGACGGUACCCGGAGAAGAGGCCCCGGCUAACUUCGUGCCAGCAGCCGCCGUAA
rnacentral:rRNA from 1 species